rnacentral:rRNA from 1 species
UACGUAGGGGGCAAGCGUUGUCCGGAUUUAUUGGGCGUAAAGAGCGUGUAGGCGGCUAUGCAGGUCCGUUGUGAAAACUCGAGGCUCAACCUCGAGACGCCGGUGGAAACCAUCAGACUAGAGUCCGGAAGAGGAGAGUGGAAUUCCUGGUGUAGCGGUGAAAUGCGCAGAUAUCAGGAAGAACACCCGUGGCUAAGGCGGCUCUCUAGUACGGUACUGACGCUGAGACGCGAAAGCGUGGGGAGCGAACAGG